GACAAUUAGGAUUUUUUUUCCUGUAUUUACUGUGAAGUAUUUUUAAAGACCCAUGAAAAUUUCCAGAUUAUUAUGUUUUCUGUUUCCUCAAGUUUCAUAACCUAAUGUCAAUAAAUCUAAAAUUAAUGGCUUCUUAUAAAAUUUUUUAAGAAAAUGUGACCUUUUUUUCAAGUUAUACUCACGAGCUGUAGUCUGUCAUGAGUACAUGUAGUCUUCUUCUUCUGUCUUCUGUCUUCUCUUCUCUGGAAACCAAGGGGUUUUCGCUGUUCUUUACACACCUUGCCCUGCAGACCCUUCACAGUAUUAACAGUCUUCCUUUAGGUGCUCUCAAGUAGUUUUUUGUCCUUACAUUGUGACAUCCAAACUCCACCCAGUGCUGAAGGUGUGACUGCACAAUCCCUCCCUUCAACCAACUGGCAAUGCUGCACUUGAUGUACCCCAAGGGUACAGUUGACACUUUUGGCUCCAGGACACUGCUGACUCACAGUCAAUCAUUAUGCAGAACCCCCAGACCCCUUUAUUCAGGCUUACUCUCCAGCAGAUGGGAGGUACUGCUGUGACAUCUCAACUGCAGCUGAAGAUAUUCAAUCUGAGACA